rnacentral:rRNA from 1 species
CCUACGGGGGGCAGCAGUGGGGAAUAUUGGGCAAUGGGCGCAAGCCUGACCCAGCAAUGCCGCGUGAAGGAAGAAGGCUUUCGGGUUGUAAACUUCUUUGACAGGGGAAGAGCAGAAGACGGUACCCUGAAAACAAGCCACGGCUAACUACGUGCCAGCAGCCGCGGUAAUACGUAGGGGGCAAGGGUUGUCCGGAUUUACUGGGUGUAAAGGGCGUGUAGCCGGGAAGGCAAGUCAGAUGUGAAAUCUGGAGGCCCAACCUCCAAAUUGCAUUUGAAACUGUUUUUCUUGAGUACUGGAGAGGCAGACGGAAUUCCUUGUGUAGCGGUGAAAUGCGUAGAUAUAAGGAGGAACACCAGUGGCGAAGGCGGUCUGCUGGACAGCAACUGACGGUGUGGCGCGAAAGCGUGGGGAGCAAACAGGAUUAGAUACCCUAGUAGUC